AACGAACGCUGGCGGCAUGCCUAAUACAUGCAAGUCGAACGAGAUCUUCGGAUCUAGUGGCGCACGGGUGCGUAACGCGUGGGAAUCUACCCUUGGGUUCGGAAUAACAGUUAGAAAUGACUGCUAAUACCGGAUGAUGACGUAAGUCCAAAGAUUUACCGCUCAAGGAUGAGCCCGCGUAGGAUUAGCUAGUUGGUGAGGUAAAAGCUCACCAAGGCGACGAUCCUUAGCUGGUCUGAGAGGAUGAUCAGCCACACUGGGACUGAGACACGGCCCAGACUCCUACGGGAGGCAGCAGUAGGGAAUAUUGGACAAUGGGGGCAACCCUGAUCCAGCAAUGCCGCGUGAGUGAUGAAGGCCUUAGGGUUGUAAAGCUCUUUUACCCGAGAUGAUAAUGACAGUAUCGGGAGAAUAAGCUCCGGCUAACUCCGUGCCAGCCGCCGCAGUAA
rnacentral:rRNA from 1 species